UACGUAGGGAGCAAGCGUUGUCCGGAUUUAUUGGGCGUAAAGAGCUCGUAGGCGGCUCGGUAAGUCGGGUGUGAAACCCCCAGGCUCAACCUGGGGACGCCACCCGAUACUGCUGUGGCUAGAGUCCAGUAGGGGAGUGUGGAAUUCCCGGUGUAGCGGUGAAAUGCGCAGAUAUUGGGAGGAACACCAGUGGCGAAGGCGGCUACCUGGACCGGUACUGACGCUGAGGCGCGAAAGCGUGGGUAGCAAACAGG
rnacentral:rRNA from 1 species